UACGUAGGGUGCAAGCGUUAAUCGGAAUUACUGGGCGUAAAGCGUGCGCAGGCGGUUUUGUAAGACUGUCGUGAAAUCCCCGGGCUUAACCUGGGAAUUGCGAUGGUGACUGCAAGGCUAGAGUUUGGCAGAGGGGGGGUAGAAUUCCACGUGUAGCAGUGAAAUGCGUAGAGAUGUGGAGGAACACCGAUGGCGAAGGCAGCCCCCUGGGUCAAAAACUGACGCUCAUGCACGAAAGCGUGGGGAGCAAACAGG
rnacentral:rRNA from 1 species